UACGUAGGGUGCGAGCGUUAAUCGGAAUUACUGGGCGUAAAGCGUGCGCAGGCGGUUUUGUAAGCCAGAUGUGAAAGCCCCGGGCUUAACCUGGGAAUGGCAUUUGGGACUGCAAGGCUUGAGUGCGGCAGAGGAGACUGGAAUUCCUGGUGUAGCAGUGAAAUGCGUAGAUAUCAGGAGGAAUACCGAUGGCGAAGGCAGGUCUCCGGGCUGACACUGACGCUCAUGCACGAAAGCGUGGGAGCAAACAGG
rnacentral:rRNA from 1 species